AUUGAACGCUGGCGGCAUGCUUUACACAUGCAAGUCGAACGGCAGCACGGGUGCUUGCACCUGGUGGCGAGUGGCGGACGGGUGAGUAAUGCAUCGGAACGUGUCCUGAAGUGGGGGAUAACGCAUCGAAAGAUGUGCUAAUACCGCAUAUUCUCUGAGGAGAAAAGUAGGGGAUCGAAAGACCUUAUGCUUUUGGAGCGGCCGAUGUCUGAUUAGCUAGUUGGUAAGGUAAUGGCUUACCAAGGCGACGAUCAGUAGUUGGUCUGAGAGGACGGCCAGCCACACUGGGACUGAGACACGGCCCAGACUCCUACGGGAGGCAGCAGUGGGGAAUUUUGGACAAUGGGCGCAAGCCUGAUCCAGCAAUGCCGCGUGAGUGAAGAAGGCCUGGUUGUAAAGCUCUUUCAGUUGAGAAGAAAAAGUACGUGACUAAUAAUACAUGAUUCAUGACGGUAUCAACAGAAGAAGCAACCGGCUAACUACGUAG
rnacentral:rRNA from 1 species